AGUUGGUAGAGCAGGGGAUUGAAAAUCCCCGUGUCGGCGGUUCGAUUCCGUCCCUGGGCACCA
rnacentral:tRNA from 1 species